UACGAAGGGUGCAAGCGUUACUCGGAAUUACUGGGCGUAAAGCGUGCGUAGGCGGUUUGUUAAGUCCGUUGUGAAAGCCCUGGGCUCAACCUGGGAAUUGCAGUGGAUACUGGCGAGCUAGAGUGCGGGUAGAGGAUGGUGGAAUUCCCGGUGUAGCGGUGAAAUGCGUAGAGAUCGGGAGGAACACCGGUGGCGAAGGCGGGUCUCUGGGCA
rnacentral:rRNA from 1 species